GGGGCUGGAGCUCAGUGGUUAAGAGCACUGACUGCUCUUCCAGAGGACCUGAGUUUGAUUCUCAGCACCCACG
rnacentral:tRNA from 1 species